UAGUCCCUGCCGUGUUCGUGACCUGGCCAUACAUUCCUUGAACCAAUGCUAAUUGGCAAAGGUUGCCGGAUUGACAAGUCGGCGAGUCCGUCACAUCGUUGAUGAACCCAAGGCUUGACUGAUGGCGACCACCCUGAACUCAGGUUCCGGGGUGCCGGCCUAGACGGCACAGGUGGGGCGUUU
rnacentral:other from 1 species